rnacentral:rRNA from 1 species
AGAGUUUGAUCCUGGCUCAGAGCGAACGCUGGCGGCGUGCUUAACACAUGCAAGUCGAACGAGGGCCGUAGCAAUACGGCUACUCGUGGCGAACGGGUGCGUAACACGUGGAUAACCUUCCUUCAGGUGGGGAAUAACCCAGUGAAAAUUGGGCUAAUACCGCAUUACAUUACGAGGGCACAUGCUCUUGUACUCAAAGC